rnacentral:rRNA from 1 species
GAAUAUUGCGCGAUGGAGGGAACUCUGACGCAGCGACGCCUCGUGAGCGAAGAAGGUCUUCGGGUCGUAAAGCGCUGUCCUUGGGGGAGAAGGUCUUCGGACUUUAAGGGACCCAAGGAGGAAGCCGCCGCUAACUACCUGCCAGCAGCCGCGGUAAUAGGUAGGGGGCAAGCGUUGUCCGGAAUUAUUGGGCGUAAAGGGCGAGUAGGCGGCCUUUUAAGUCAGAUGUGAAAGCCCACGGCUUAACCGUGGGACUGCAUUUGAAACUGGAGGGCUUGAAUAUCGGAGAGGGUAGUGGAAUUCCCAGUGUAGCGGUGGAAUGCGUAGAUAUUGGGAGGAACACCAGUGGCGAAGGCGACUACCUGGGCGAUGACUGACGCUGAUGCACAAAAGCUAGGGGAGCAAACA